GAUGAACGCUGGCGGCGUGCUUAACACUUCCAAUUCGACCGGAAGGCCCCAACUUUCCUUGGUUCCUCAAUUGCCAACCGGUUAGUUAACCCUUGGUUGUUUUCCCCUCCCCUUCGGAUUAACCCUGGGAAACUGGUCUUAUUCCCGGUUGGGCCCCCUCUUUGGUUUUUUUGUUGGAAGUUUUUUUCGGGGUGGGAUGAGUUCGCGGCGUAUCAGCUUGUUGUUGGGGUAAUGGCCUACCAAGGCGUCGACGGGUAGCCGGCCUGAGAGGGUGUACGGCCACAUUGGGACUGAGAUACGGCCCAGACUCCUACGGGAGGCAGCAGUGGGGAAUAUUGCACAAUGGGCGCAAGCCUGAUGCAGCGACGCCGCGUGGGGGAUGACGGCCUUCGGGUUGUAAACUCCUGUCGCUAGGGACGAAGCGUUUUUGUGACGGUACCUGGAGAAGAAGCACCGGCUAACUACGUG
rnacentral:rRNA from 1 species